rnacentral:rRNA from 1 species
CAAAGGAAUUGACGGGGGCCCGCACAAGCGGUGGAGCAUGUGGUUAAUUCGAAGCAACGCGAAGAACCUUACAGGUCUUGACAUCCCGAUGCUAUUUCUAGAGAUAGAAAGUUACUUCGGUACAUCGGUGACAGGUGGUGCAUGGUUGUCGUCAGCUCGUGUCGUGAGAUGUUGGGUUAAGUCCCGCAACGAGCGCAACCCCUAUUGUUAGUUGCCAUCAUUCAGUUGGGCACUCUAGCGAGACUGCCGGUAAUAAACCGGAGGAAGUGGGGAUGACGUCAAAUCAUCAUGCCCCUUAUGACCUGGGCUACACACGUGCUACAAUGGUUGGUACAACGAGUUGCGAGUCGGUGACGGCGAGCUAAUCUCUUAAAGCCAAUCUCAGUUUGGAUUGUAGGCUGCAACUCGCCUACAUGAAGUCGGAAUCGCUAGUAAUCGCGGAUCAGCACGCCGCGGUGAAUACGUUCCCGGGCCUU